GACGAACGCUGGCGGCGUGCUUAACACAUGCAAGUCGAACGGGGUGUUUAUUUCGGUAAACACCAAGUGGCGAACGGGUGAGUAACGCGUAAGCAAUCUACCUUCAAGAUGGGGACAACACUUCGAAAGGGGUGCUAAUACCGAAUGAAUGUAAGAGUAUCGCAUGAGACACUUACUAAAGGAGGCCUCUGACAUAAGCUUCCGCUUGAAGAUGAGCUUGCGUCUGAUUAGCUAGUUGGUGAGGGUAAAGGCCCACCAAGGCGACGAUCAGUAGCCGGUCUGAGAGGAUGAACGGCCACAUUGGGACUGAGACACGGCCCAGACUCCUACGGGAGGCAGCAGUGGGGAAUCUUCCGCAAUGGGCGAAAACCUGACGGAGCAACGCCGCGUGAACGAUGAAGGUCUUAGGAUCGUAAAGUUCUGUUGUUAGGGACGAAGGGUAAGAAUCAUAAUAAGGUUUUUAUUUGACGGUACCUAACGAGGAAGCCACGGCUAACUACGUG
rnacentral:rRNA from 1 species